UAGCAAAUCUUUGGCAUAUGUCACACCUUCUGACGAACUCUUCUGCUUCCCUUUUGACAGUGGGCCAGUAGUAUCCUUGCCUGAAUAUUUUAUUGGCUAAGGUCCCUGCCCCUUCGUGAGCUCCACAUAUUCCCCUGUGUAUCUCCUCCAUCACCCUUGUAGCCUCCUCCGGGCUCACACACCGGAGCCAUGGGCUGGACUUCCCUUUUCUGUACAAGGUCCCCCUUACUGCUUGAUAGUUGG
rnacentral:lncRNA from 1 species